rnacentral:lncRNA from 1 species
GUGUAAUAGAGAGACAAAAACUAGAGAAAAAGAUUACGCGACACCAAAGGAAGACUGCAGAGAAACUGUGAAUGUUCGUGCUGAACCAACUUAGACGAAAAGCACAUACAGAGCUAAGGGAUAGAAAGAAUGAUGUGGAUUUGCGUCAUUGUGAUUUCCGCUAUGUGUUCAUCUCAUCUCUCCUCUGGACAAGUACAUGGAGUUGACCAAUCCACGUAUUGUGAAAGCUGCAUAGAAACGGCCAAAGAAAUCGAGAUUGCUAUGGAAAAAGCAACCUCAUAUGAAUCUAGACAAAGCGUCAUUGAAGAUGUGAUGAGCGGAGCUUUGUGCGAGAGAUAUACACGAGAAGACGUGAAGACGUCAUGCCACGACCUAUUUGAAACCCACAAUGAGAAGAUCCGAACUGAAAUGCUGAAAGGACACUCUAACAACUUGGAGAUUCGUCUGUGCUACGAUACUUCUAUGGCCUGCGUGGGAGUUAAACGUCAGUCUCAGACGGUAGCACAGAAUAAGCCUGACUUUCAAGAGGAUGACAUCAGAGCCUUACUACAUGCGAACAAAGACAGAGUGCGCACCGCGCGGCCAUUGGCUGAGAUGAAUCACAAGGACGAGCUGUGAAGUUGGGUAGUUGUUUAUUGCACGUGUGCCAUCUAGUGGUCAUUGCUGUCAAUCCUUUUCACAUUACAGUCAGUAGACCAACCGUCUACAUGUCGUCGACAUGGAUUUGGUGAUGAUUUGGAAUAAAUUAAAUC